rnacentral:tRNA from 4 species
GGAGAGAUGGUCGAGUGGUUUAUGGCUCCAGUCUUGAAAACUGGCAUGGUGUCGAAACGCCAUCGAGGGUUCGAAUCCCUCUCUCUCCU